rnacentral:rRNA from 1 species
AAAUUGAAGAGUUUGAUCAUGGCUCAGAUUGAACGCUGGCGGCAGGCCUAACACAUGCAAGUCGAACGGUAACAGGAAGCAGCUUGCUGCUUCGCUGGCGAGUGGCGGACGGGUGAGUAAUGUCUGGGAAACUGCCUGAUGGAGGGGGAUAACUACUGGAAACGGUAGCUAAUACCGCAUAACGUCGCAAGACCAAAGAGGGGGACCUUCGGGCCUCUUACCAUCGGAUGUGCCCAGAUGGGAUUAGCUAGUAGGUGGGGUAACGGCUCACC